GGGAAAAUACGCGGCUACACAUGCAGUCGAGGGGCAGCGGGAGUGCUUGCACUCGCCGGCGACCGGCGCACGGGCGCUGAACGCGUAUGGAAUCUACCUCUUUCUGGGGAAUAGCCCAUGGAAACGUGGAUUAAUACCCCAUAGUAUUCAGAAAUCGCAUGAUUUUUGAAUUAAAGCUUUGGCGGAAAGAGAUGACCAUGCGUAUCAUUAGCUAGUAGGUGAGGUAACGGCUCACCUAGGCUACGAUGAUUAGGGGUCCUGAGAGGGAGAUCCCCCACACUGGUACUGAGACACGGACCAGACUCCUACGGGAGGCAGCAGUGAGGAAUAUUGGACAAUGGUCGAAAGACUGAUCCAGCCAUGCCGCGUGCAGGAUGAAUGCCCUAUGGGUUGUAAACUGCUUUUAUACGGGAAGAACACCACCCACGUGUGGGUGACUGACGGUACCGUAAGAAUAAGGACCGGCUAACUCCGUGCCAGCAGCCGCGGUAAUACGGAGGGUCCAAGCGUUAUCCGGAAUCAUUGGGUUUAAAGGGUCCGUAGGCGGGCUAUUAAGUCAGAGGUGAAAGUUUGCAGCUCAACUGUAAAAUUGCCUUUGAUACUGGUAGUCUUGAGUUAUAGUGAAGUGGUUAGAAUAUGUGGUGUGGCGGUGAAAUGCAUAGAUAUCACAUAGAAUACCAAUUGCGAAGGCAGAUCACUAACUAUAUACUGACGCUGAUGGACGAAAGCGUGGGGAGCGAACAGGAUUAGAUACCCUGGUAGUCCACGCCGUAAACGAUGGAUACUAGCUGUUCGGCGUA
rnacentral:rRNA from 1 species